CUGUUAUCUUUCGUAUGGAUGUUGUGAAACUCUGGCCUCAGCAUUCAUGUCUCAAAACACAUGCCUGAGAGAGCUGGACAUCAGCUACAACAACCUUGGGGACUGUGGAGUGAAACUGCUCUGUGCUGGACUGACAAGUCCAUUCUGUCAUAUAGAGAUACUGCAUCUGAGGGAGUGUAAUAUGACGGGUAUGUGCUGUUCAGAUUUGGCCACAGCUUUGUGUUCAUUCAACUCAAAGCUGAAAGAAUUGGAACUCAGAGACAACAACCUGCAAAACUCAGGAGUUGCACUUCUCUCUGCUGGGCUGGGAGACAUGCAUUGUGAAGUACAGAGAAUGGGGUUGUCUGGCUGUAGAGUCACAGAGGAAGGCUGUAUUUAUCUGGCUUCGGCUCUGAGAUCCAACCCUUCACACCUGAAAGAGCUGGACCUAAGUUACAAUCACCCAGGACACUCAGGAGUGAAGCAGUUCUACUGUACUGGAAGAUCCACACAGUAUGCUGAAGAAACUCUGAGUGGAUCAUGGUGGGGAAUGCAGGGCUGAGAAAAUAUGCCGGUCUACUCAGUCUGGACCCAAACACAGCGCACCCACACCUGUCACUCUCAAAGGGGAACCGAGAGGUGACGCGAAACGUAGAGAACCAGCAACCUCUUGAUCACCCAGAUAGAUUUCAGCACUGUCACCAAGUUCUGGGCAAAGAGUAUCUGACUUCACGCUGUUACUGGGAAAUAGAGUGGCGCAGGACGAAUGUUGACAUUGGAGCCACAUAUAAAAGAAUCAACAGGAAAGGCGAGGGCUCGGAAAGUAUGAUCGGGAUGAAUAACAAGUCCUUUAGCUUGGUCUGUCAUCGUGAAGGAUAUCAUUUCUGUCACAAUGGGAGGAUCACUAAAAUAGCCACUCCACUUCCUCCCUCAAAAAGAAUAGGGGUGUGUCUGGACUGGCACUCUAGCCUUCUACAGUGUCGCCAGUGACACAGUGACCCACCUACAUACAUUCCACACCACGUUUACCGAGCCCCUCCAUCCCGCGUUUGGAGUUUACAUGGGCUCAACGCUGACACUUUGCCAGUUAGACUGGAGUCAAUCAGCAUAUAUUCAGUGCAUACAGAGUAGUAUAUUACAUAUGAGAUGUGAUAGUUUAACUUUUAUCUACUGUAGUCCAUCUACUGCAUUUGCAUUGUACUAAUUGUGUAUAUAGUAGUUUAAGUUACUGCUGACCUCACAAAAUCUAUUGGAAGUGGAUAAAAGUACUGUAUUGUAUAUGAAUGUUGUAAAUGAUGCAUUUUUCAGUCCGUUCUGGAAACGACAACUUUUAACUCAUU